GCUUGUCUCAAAGAUUAAGCCAUGCAUGUCUAAGUAUAAACAAAUUUAUAGUGAAACUGCGAAUGGCUCAUUAUAUCAGUUAUAGUUUAUUUGGCGAUAAAAACUACUUGGAUAACCGUAGUAAUUCUAGAGCUAAUACAUGCACAAAUUCCCGUCAGGGAUGUAUUUAUUAGAUUGAAACCAAUGCGGGGUAACCCGGUGUUUGGUGAUUCAUAAUAACUUUCGGAUCGCAUUUGCGAUGCAUCAUUCAAGUUUCUGCCCUAUCAGCUUUGGAUGGUAGGGUAUUGGCCUACCAUGGCUUUAACGGGUAACGGAGAAUUAGGGUUCGAUUCCGGAGAGGGAGCCUGAGAAAUGGCUACCACAUCCAAGGAAGGCAGCAGG
rnacentral:rRNA from 1 species